AUUGAACGCUGGCGGCAGGCCUAACACAUGCAAGUCGAGCGGAUGAAGGGAGCUUGCUCCUGGAUUCAGCGGCGGACGGGUGAGUAAUGCCUAGGAAUCUGCCUGGUAGUGGGGGAUAACGUCCGGAAACGGGCGCUAAUACCGCAUACGUCCUGAGGGAGAAAGUGGGGGAUCUUCGGACCUCACGCUAUCAGAUGAGCCUAGGUCGGAUUAGCUAGUUGGUGGGGUAAAGGCCUACCAAGGCGACGAUCCGUAACUGGUCUGAGAGGAUGAUCAGUCACAAGGGAACUGGAAAACGGUCCAAACUCCUAGGGGAGGCAGCAGGGGGGAAUAUUGGAAAAGGGGGGAAAGCCUGAUCCAGCCAGGCCGGGUGGGUGAAAAAGGUCUUCGGAUUGUAAAGAAAUUUAAGUUGGGAGGAAGGGAAGUAAGUUAAAACCUUGCUGUUUUGACGUUACAAACAGAAUAAGCACCGGAUAACUGCGU
rnacentral:rRNA from 1 species